CCUGACUUCAAAUGUUCCCCAGUUCAUAAACAACGCUGCUGUUGUUCAAAGGCGAGCAUCUGUUGGAGUCGACCAGACCACAAACUCCAACGCAUUCCUGCAACACACUAACUGCGACGUGAAACGGAACCGCAGACCUCCCUGUCUUGCUCUGAGGUGGAGGGACGUGUGGAGGGACGUGUGGCGCGCCAGUUCCAGCAAUCACAACAAGAGAGCUGCUGCCGCUGCCGCUGCCGCCCGGUUGCGCGGAGAUUGGCUCUUGUUUACCCGGGACGUUUCCCCGGGAGACAGCCGGGCGAUACUGGGAUACCCUCUCAAAGCUUUUGUUAAUUCACGAGGAGGCGAGACAUCCGCUGCAACAAUGCAGCAAAUUAGUAUUACAAAAGCCAAAGACUGACAAGCUGGUGACAUAACAGUGCACGGGGCGGUAUACUCCAUAUUUUGCUUGCCAACUUACAAGCGGCAGCAGCAGGUUAAUCACCCAAAUGUAAAUUAAAGAGAGAGAGAGGAAAGUACAAAAAGAGCAAUUUUAAGCCUAUAAUUUUAAUUUUGAGUCCAUAAUUAAAUGUUUAACAGUUUCUCGCUGAAAUAUUUCUGCCUUUCUCUUUCAGGGCUGUGGGAUGAACUGAGUUCACAUACCGUGUCAUGGCAUUAAAUAAUUUAGCUGAGUCCAGUAAAGCUUAUGAUUCACUGUGACAGUAGUUCUGACUUCAUCUUUUGGGGGUGCAGGUGAUGUUUGUACCUGCAGUGAGUCAGACAGGUCCAGUUCUGCACACCUAAUGGAAACCCAUCAUAUUGGACAGGGCUUGAAUAACCUGGUUAAAACUAUGAAGAUCUUUUCCAUAUCAAUUUAUUUCAGUAAAGAAACUGGACAACUUUGUGUCAUAGCAGUCAAAUCUACAAUCAGGAGCAAUAACACCAUGAGCAGCCUGCCUAAAAUUAUUUGAAGAGUAUGUUUUCAGUUGCUUGACCUGUAGUGUAAGCCAGUUUUGAUUUUAUGAAUUGAAUCUUUAUAUGACUGGGAUGCAGUCCUGUCACAUGGAUCUAUUGUUUAAAAAAACAAAUACACAAAUAGAGUAUUUUUUUAUAAAAUUAGCCUGAUGAUGAUAAUAGCUUUAUUGGCAUAUGUGGUUCCAUAAAUAAUUGUUAACAUCCAUGGAAUAUUCGCACAAAAGCUUCUUUUAUAGAGGAAAAGGUGUUUAUUUUAAGAACUGUUCACUGAAAGAUCUGAUACUGUCAGACAGAUUAAGUUAUUCAUAGAAAAUGAGUUUUCAUCUACAAGUUUUUAAUGUUUUGAACUUUUGCUUCAGCUUUGAAGUGUAAUACUGAUUUUUUUCUCAGAUACAUUUUAGGACAGAAAGCAUCUCAUAACAAUUAUCAAAAACUGUAUGGAUACCCAAGGCACGUCAGACAGUCACGCCCACAGCAGGGGGAGACAUCCGUACUUUCCAGCUUUUAAACAUCCUGCCAACCUCCAUAUUGAUUUGCAAGAGCCUUGUGGGGUGCUGUAGUCUUCCAGCCCAUUUUAGGCAAGGCUUACUCAUCACCCCCAACCAAUUACUGCCUUUCACCAUGAACGCAUUUAAUGAAACGAUUAGAGGCAAUUUUUCCUAUGGAUGGAUAUCCGAUUCCUGACGCAUGACGCCCACACACAUCUUCCCAUCAGCCUCACUCAAGGUGACACAGCUGUUGGAAAAGGUGAAGAGCGAGAGAGAUGAAAUCCCUUUCUGAAUGGUACAAUAAGAUCAGAGAAAGACUAUUUCCGGCUGGUUUUACCAAUCUGAAACUGUCGUUUUUCAUUAAAAGUCGUUUGAUUGAGACUGUGAUCCACAGUUCUGUUAGGAGUUCACUUUUCUGAUCUGGUCUUUGGAGACUGCUAAUUAACUUAGAAAGAGUUUAUCCCUGUUUCCUCAAAGGACCUCCUACACAUUCACAAAGUGACUUUAUUUUGAUCAGAUGGUGAGAAAACAUCACGUUAACGCUGGCUGUAUGAUACCAGAGGAUGCGUGAGAGGCAGCAGGGAAAAAAACAGCAAAAAAGGCAGACAAACAGGUCUAAUUGCUGCUGCUGUACUGUACACCCCAAGCAGAAGCACCCCCUGCAUUCUUAUCAUGGAUUGCUGUCAUUCAAGAAGUUAUCAUUUCCUCCCAUUGUGGCUGAGCUACACAUUCUCUUUGUUUUAUUUUAAACAUAAAACAUCCAGAGGAGAUGGCACCUACGCUGGAAUCCAUACAAAUUCUUCCUGUGAAGAAAUCCUGAACGAGGGUCAAAGGUUGAGAUGAUGGGAACCUACGCUUCCAAGACUUUGAGAAUCCAUGUACAAUUUGAGCUUUUUUCAAAUCUCAACAUGGAAUUUGGACUGAACGUGCAGAAGAAAAGAAAAAAAAGUAGUUUCCACAAACUGGCACAUGGCAAGAGAUACUAAAAGCACACAAGUUUAGUUUAGUAUAGUAUAGUUUCACAUUGAAAUGUGAGGCAUGAGUGCAUGAAUCUUUGUUUUUUUUAUUUUCAAAUGCUGUACAGGAAAGUAUUUUUGCAGUACCAUGUCAAUUGUAGAUGCAGAUAAUUUAGCAUGAAUUAGAGGUUAGUAAUCUAAUUUAAAGGGUUAGUUCACCCAAAAUGUUAUAUGAAAAAUCUUGUUCCAAUCCUGUUAGACUUUUGUUCAUUUUUGGAACACUAAUGAAGAUCCUUUUUAAUGAAAUCUGACAGCUAUACCUUAUUGGACCUUGAAAUGGUAGUUGUAUAUGGUAGUUGUCAACGGAGGGACAGAAAGCACAGAGAUUUAAUUAAAAAUACUCUUUGUUUGUGUUCCAAAGAUGAAUGAAAAUCUUAUGGAUUUGGAACGGUAUGAGGGUGAGUAACAGAUAACAGAAUUCACAUUUUUGGGUUAACUGUCCUUUUAAAUAAUAUUGUGUUCUUCUAUUGGUUAAAUGGUGUAAACGCCGGAACAUUUCACUUGACUAUUGACUGUAAGUCUAUAGCAAUUGUUAUUAAUGACAGCCCUGUCUUUGUAUUCAUUUUUUCCCCCAUGUAUUUGAAAAUUAUUUUGAAUCUUGACUGUUUCACAAUGAAGUUUAUCUUUGUGUCCUCGAUUUGGUGCAACACCAAUAUUGUACAAGUCAAGUACCUGCUCAUGUUUUCUUUUUUCUGCAUGUUGCUGUUUAAAACUAAAAAGUGUUCCACAAUACAAGCAUUUUCAGUGGUGCUUUACACAUUGUUAAAUUAAUUGAUGUAAUAAUAUUUUGGUCUUC